UACGAAGGGGGCUAGCGUUGCUCGGAAUCACUGGGCGUAAAGGGUGCGUAGGCGGGUCUUUUAAGUCAGGGGUGAAAUCCUGGAGCUCAACUCCAGAACUGCCCUUUGAUACUGAAGUAUCUUGAGUUCGGGGAGAGGUGAGUGGAACUGCGAGUGUAGAGGUGAAAUUCGUAGAUAUUCGCAAGAACACCAGUGGCGAAGGCGGCUCACUGGCCCGAUACUGACGCUGAGGCACGAAAGCGUGGGGAGCAAACAGGG
rnacentral:rRNA from 1 species